GGGGGGGGGGGGGGGGGGGGGGGGGGGGGGGGGGGGGGGGGGGGGGGGGGGGGGGGGGGGGGGGGGGGGGGGGGGGGGGGGGGGGGCGCAGCCUCACCCCGGAGACACGGCUGCUGCUGCGGGACCGCCGGGGCAGAGCUCCAUCCUCCUGCGCUACAGGCAGCCCAGUUUGUCUUCACAUUGGAGAAGUCAUAGAUGAUGUUGAUACGAGGACUGAGGUUGAAGAAGUGUAAGAAAUAUACUUAUUCAAGGAGAAAUGGAAGACUCCUGUUAUGGAUGAUAUCAAUGCCAGUUUUUCUCUUCAGAUACAUUUGGAGGGCACAUUCAAAUCCUAAGGAAUUUUAGCUCUGUUCACAUGUCAGGAGUGGAACAAAAAAAUACAUGGGGCAACAAAUCCUGGGCAGUACCCAGUGCAUUUUCACCUGGCUGAGGAUGUGGAUUAGAGAGGAUAUGUGCACCCAAUAACCUGCCUAUCAGCACUGCUUCUCUGAGUGUGUUGUCAUACGUGGAACUUGUGGCCUUCUGGUAAGAGACAUAUUUUAUUAGUAACAAGUUCAGUUCCUUGCUUAGCCAGGUCUAAA
rnacentral:lncRNA from 12 species